GGGGCUGGAUUCGAAUCUGGAUUCCCACUGGCAACCGGCUCAUAACCGAUUGGUCCUGGGUUCGAAUCCCGGCGGGCCCACCA
rnacentral:tRNA from 1 species